rnacentral:rRNA from 1 species
UUGCACAAUGGGCGCAAGCCUGAUGCAGCGACGCCGCGUGUGGGAUGAAGGGGUUACGCCUCGUAAACCAUUGUAGCCCGGGACGAAAAACGCCUUAGAGGCGUUAGACGGUACCGGGAAAGUAAGGGUCGGCUAACUACGUGCCAGCAGCCGCGGUAAUACGUAGGUCCCAAGCGUUGUACGGAUUUACUGGGUGUAAAGGGUGCGCAGGCGGAUGGGUAAGUCGGGGGUGAAAGUCUGCAGCUUAACUGUAGAAUUGCCUUUGAUACUGCUCAUCUUGAGUGUGGGAGAGGUUGGUGGAAUUCCAAGUGUAGCAGUGAAAUGCGUAGAUAUCUGGAAGAACACCAGUGGCGAAGGCGGUCAACUGGCCCAUUACUGACGCUCAUGCACGAAAGCGUGGGGAGCAAACA